GAUGAAGAACGUAGCGAAAUGCGAUAAGUAAUGCGAAUUGCAGAAUUCGGUGAGUCAUCGAAUCUUUGAACGCACAUUGCGCCCUGUGGUAUUCCGCAGGGCAUGCCUGUUCGAGCGUCAUUUCAACCCUCAAGCUCUGCUUGGUGUUGGGCCACGCCCUCGCGGCCGGCCCCAAAGCCAGUGGCGGCGCCGUCCGGCUCUAAGCGUAGUACAUCUCUCGCUCUAGGGCCCGGCGGCUGCCUGCCAGAACCCCAAACUCUUAUGGUUGACCUCGGAUCAGGUAGGGAUACCCGCUGAACGUAAGCAUAUCAAUAAGCGGAGGA
rnacentral:misc_RNA from 1 species